UGAAUGUUGACCUCGAAUCAGGUAGGAAUACCCGCUGAACUUAAGCAUAUCAAUAAGCGGAGGAAAAGAAACCAACAGGGAUUGCCCCAGUAACGGCGAGUGAAGCGGCAACAGCUCAAAUUUGAAAUCUGGCUCUCGGGCCCGAGUUGUAAUUUGUAGAGGAUGCUUUUGGUGAGGUGCCUUCCGAGUUCCCUGGAACGGGACGCCAUAGAGGGUGAGAGCCCCGUCUGGUUGGACACCGAUCCUCUGUAAAGCUCCUUCGACGAGUCGAGUAGUUUGGGAAUGCUGCUCUAAAUGGGAGGUAUAUGUCUUCUAAAGCUAAAUACCGGCCAGAGACCGAUAGCGCACAAGUAGAGUGAUCGAAAGAUGAAAAGAACUUUGAAAAGAGAGUUAAACAGUACGUGAAAUUGUUGAAAGGGAAGCGCUUGUGACCAGACUUGGGCUUGGUUGAUCAUCCGGGGUUCUCCCCGGUGCACUCUUCCGGCCCAGGCCAGCAUCAGUUCGCCCUGGGGGACAAAGGCUUCGGGAAUGUGGCUCUCUCCGGGGAGUGUUAUAGCCCGUUGCGUAAUACCCUGUGGCGGACUGAGG
rnacentral:rRNA from 1 species